AAGACUAUACUUUCAGGGAUCAUUUCUACAGUUUGUUACUAGAGAAGUUUUUCUGAACACGUAGAGCGCCUGAAACCACAAGGAGGAGGGAGGUGCAGCGCCCUUCCUGAAUGUGAAGCGGCUGUUGGUGUUUUGCAACCACUAUUGGCCGUUGAUCAUUCUUCUCUUCCUUUGAGAGUGUAAGAGGGAGAGGAUGCAGUCAUAGUGGU